UGGGGAAUUUUGGACAAUGGGCGCAAGCCUGAUCCAGCCAUGCCGCGUGAGUGAAGAAGGCCUUCGGGUUGUAAAGCUCUUUCGGCGGGGACGAAACGGUUCGUGACAACACCACGGACUAAUGACGGUACCCGCAUAAGAAGCACCGGCUAACUACGUGCCAGCAGCCGCGGUAAUACGUAGGGUGCAGGCGUUAAUCGGAAUUACUGGGCGUAAAGCGUGCGCAGGCGGUUUGUUAAGACAGGUGUGAAAUCCCCGGGCUUAACCUGGGAAUUGCGCUUGUAACUGGCAGGCUAGAGUGUGGAAGAGGGGGGUGGAAUUCCAGGUGUAGCGGUGAAAUGCGUAGAUAUCAAGAGGAACACCUGAGGUGAAGACGGGUUGCUGGGCUGACACUGACGCUGAGGCGCGAAAGCCAGGGGAGCAAACAGGAUUAGAUACCCACGUAGUCCCUGAGCGGGC
rnacentral:rRNA from 1 species